UUGAUCCUGGCUCAGAUUGAACGCUGGCGGCAGGCUUAACACAUGCAAGUCGAACGGUAACAUAAAGGAGCUUGCUUCUUUGAUGACGAGUGGCGGACGGGUGAGUAAUGCUUGGGAAUCUAGCUUAUGGAGGGGGAUAACUACGGGAAACUGUAGCUAAUACCGCGUAGAAUCGGGAGAUGAAAGUGUGGGACCUUCGGGCCACAUGCCAUAGGAUGAGCCCAAGUGGGAUUAGGUAGUUGGUGAGGUAAAGGCUCACCAAGCCGACGAUCUCUAGCUGGUCUGAGAGGAUGACCAGCCACACUGGGACUGAGACACGGCCCAGACUCCUACGGGAGGCAGCAGUGGGGAAUAUUGCGCAAUGGGGGCAACCCUGACGCAGCCAUGCCGCGUGAAUGAAGAAGGCCUUCGGGUUGUAAAGUUCUUUCGGUAGCGAGGAAGGCAUUUAGUUUAAUAGACUAGGUGAUUGACGUUAACUACAGAAGAAGCACCGGCUAACUCCGUGCCAGCAGCCGCGGU
rnacentral:rRNA from 1 species